rnacentral:tmRNA from 1 species
GGGGGCGAAACGGGUUCGACGGGGAUUAGGAAGCUUAAGUUGCAUACCGAGGUUCCACCGGGUCUCGUAAAAAAGGUGGGCAUAAACACAAACGCAGACGAUUACGCGUACUCUUUAGCCGCUUAAUUGACGGCUAACGUUCUAUCGAUUUGACCUGCAGAAUCGAAUAGGGCGCCGACUUCGCAGGAUAGCCGACCUCUUGUACCUGUUCAUCUGGAAGGCGAAAUUUAUAACAGGAUCGUUCUCUGAAGACUUUGCCCGAUAGGAACUCAGAGGACAAAAACUUUUUAUCGGGAUAUGUAUGUAGAAACUUGGGCGGAAUAUUUCCGGACGGGGGUUCGACUCCCCCCGCCUCCACCA